rnacentral:rRNA from 1 species
AGAGUUUGAUCCUGGCUCAGGAUGAACGCUAGCGACAGGCUUAACACAUGCAAGUCGAGGGGCAGCGGGGAGUGAGGCUUGCCUUACUCUGCCGGCGACCGGCGCACGGGUGAGUAACACGUAUGCAACCUACCCUUUACAGCGGGAUAACCGGAAGAAAUUUCGCCUAAUACCGCAUAUACUCCUUGGGAGGCAUCUUCCGAGGGGGAAAGAAUUUCGGUGAAGGAUGGGCAUGCGUCGCAUUAGUUAGUUGGCGGUGUAACGGACCACCAAGACGACGAUGCGUAGGGGUUCUGAGAGGAAGGUCCCCCACACUGGUACUGAGACACGGACCAGACUCCUACGGGAGGCAGCAGUGAGGAAUAUUGGUCAAUGGGCGGAAGCCUGAACCAGCCAAGUCGCGUGAGGGAAGACGGUCCUAUGGAUUGUAAACCUCUUUUGCAGGGGAGCAAGGCGCGGUACGUGUACCGCGAAGGAGAGUACCCUGAGAAAAAGCAUCGGCUAACUCCGUGCCAGCAGCCGCGGUAAUACGGAGGAUGCGAGCGUUAUCCGGAUUUAUUGGGUUUAAAGGGUGCGCAGGCGGACUGUUAAGUCAGCGGUAAAAUGUCGGUGCUCAACACCGGCCGGCCGUUGAAACUGGCAGCCUUGAGUGAGCGAGAAGUAUGCGGAAUGCGUGGUGUAGCGGUGAAAUGCAUAGAUAUCACGCAGAACUCCGAUUGCGAAGGCAGCAUACCGGCGCUCAACUGACGCUCAGGCACGAAAGCGUGGGUAUCGAACAGGCUUAGAUACCCUGGUAGUCCACGCAGUAAACGAUGAAUGCUCACUGUCCGGGCCGUUUAAGGCCUGGGUGGUCAAGCGAAAGCGUUAAGCAUUCCACCUGGGGAGUACGCCGGCAACGGUGAAACUCAAAGGAAUUGACGGGGGCCCGCACAAGCGGAGGAACAUGUGGUUUAAUUCGAUGAUACGCGAGGAACCUUACCCGGGCUCAAACGGAAGGGGACAGUAUGAGAAAUCAUACAUUCCUUCGGGACCGCUUCCGAGGUGCUGCAUGGUUGUCGUCAGCUCGUGCCGUGAGGUGUCGGCUUAAGUGCCAUAACGAGCGCAACCCCUAUCGACAGUUGCUAGCAGGUAAAGCUGAGGACUCUGUCGAGACUGCCGGCGCAAGCUGUGAGGAAGGCGGGGAUGACGUCAAAUCAGCACGGCCCUUACGUCCGGGGCGACACACGUGUUACAAUGGCAGGUACAGCGGGAAGCCACCCGGCGACGGGGCGCAGAACCCGAAAACCUGUCUCAGUUCGGAUUGGAGUCUGCAACCCGACUCCAUGAAGCUGGAUUCGCUAGUAAUCGCGCAUCAGCCACGGCGCGGUGAAUACGUUCCCGGGCCUUGCACUCACCGCCCGUCA